UUAAAAUGACCCUUCACAUCAUGAUUUGUUAUUCAGCAACACUUGUCUGUCGUGGUCUUUCCACUUGGCGGUACUUUAGAAAUCUUGCAUGUUGAGUGGGCUGGCUGGAAAGUGCCGGUCUAUUUCUACUUAAUUUGACUUGGGAAACUCUGCAUGCCCAAUGUGCUGGAAAGUGUAUAUCAGAGCUUACUACUGUGCCUGCAAAAGUAUGUUGGCAGGACCUUAGGAUCUCCACUACGAUAUAUUAUUAAAGCACAGUUGUUUUUAAAGAUCAUCAUACAAAAUACAUCUGGACAUACUAUGUAGAUCACUUUAUGCUCUGAUUGGCUGAAGUAAGACUUUGGGUAAUUGUUAUGUUUACAGGAACUCUUAUUUCUGAUGGUGUUUCUUGCUAUGCCAUUUUCAGGUUAGGACAGUCCUUGACAUAGAAUGUGGAUUUGGUACCUUUGGGGCGCAUCUUUUUGAGAGAGAUCUCUUGACCAUGUGCAUUGCUAACUAUGAAGCAUCAGGUAGCCAAGUCCAAAUUACACUGGAGAGAGGCAUUCCUGCAAUGAUUGGUUCAUUUGCAACGAAGCAGCUUCCGUAUCCCUAUCUUUCCUUUGAUAUGGUGCAUUGUGCUAAAUGCAAUAUCGAAUGGUACAAAAACGGUAUGUGUGAAAGUCUUCUUUCACAUGCCCUGGCCCUCAUUGACGAUUAUAAUGUUAUUCAGCAAUGUCUUAAGUUGGCACUUCACAUAUAAAGAUCGGUACAUGCCUAGCUGAAUAUUAAAUAUUUAAGGAUAUACAGUUGUGGGUGACUUUUGGUUGACUUGUAACCCUUGUCACUGCAAACUUUGCAUGCAUCUGAUUUCUGCAAAGACACAUUUAUGGUAAUUUGGCUAUAAAGUAGUAUCUCUUACAGUCUUACUAAAUAUGUAAACGUUGUUUUCUCUGUAAUUCUGCAGAUGGCAUUUUCUUGGUUGAAGUGAACAGGCUUUUGAGGCCUGGUGGAUAUUUUGUAUGGACAUCGAAUUUGAAUACACAUAGGGCCUUGCGAGACAAAGAAAACCAAAAGAAAUGGACAGCCAUUCGUGACUACGCUGAGGGCCUUUGUUGGGAGAUGCUGUCACAACAAGAUGAGACAAUUGUAUGGAAAAAGACGAAUAAAAGGGAAUGUUACAAAUCAAGGUAAUGUAGUGCUUAUCAACAACUACAAACUUUAUAAUAACAGAUAUUUAGUCUAGUGGUGAACUUACAGUGUUGUUUUACAGAAAAUUUGGGCCUGAGCUAUGUGGCCAUGAUCCAGAAUCACCAUACUACCAACCACUAAGCCCCUGCAUAUCAGGCACAAGAAGUCAGCGUUGGAUCCCCAUUGAACACCGUACCACCUGGCCAUCUCAGGCUAGGCAAAACUCAACAGAACUGGACAUACAUGGUAAGUAUUUGACUAAAUAAUACAAUUGAAAAAACAAGCAAACAAAUCAACGAAAUUUAAAAUAUGUUAGUGUCUUAAUGUUCAAAUGCUUGUCUGUGUUACAUUAAGAACCCUCUAAUUCAACAGGUGUGCAUUCAGAAGUCUUCGCUGAUGAUAAUUCAAGCUGGGACUCCAUGGUGCGAAACUACUGGUCUUUGCUAUCCCCACUUAUAUUUUCAGACCAUCCAAAGAGACCUGGUGAUGAAGACCCACAACCACCAUUUAACAUGCUAAGGAAUGUUUUAGAUAUGAAUGCUCAUUUUGGUGGAUUUAAUGCUGCUUUACUGAAGUCUGGAAAGUCUGUAUGGGUGAUGAAUGUUGUUCCUACAAAUGCCCCAAAUUAUCUACCACUAAUAUUUGACCGUGGUUUUAUUGGGGUUCAACAUGAUUGGUAAGUAGUAGUACAUGAUCUUUUGUCCUUUGUUGAUUUGAAUUUGUUUUACCCUUUUUUGUUUCAGGUGAGUGCUCUGGUAAUGCUAAAUCUUGAACUACCUUACUUGACAAAGUUUUCCAAACUAAACUUCAUAUGCAUAGUCAGUCAUAACUUGGAAAUGUUAAUACAUGCAAAUUUUAGGCAUAUGGAAAGUUGUUGAUAUAGAGGAAUUAGAGCAUCCUCAAUUUCACAUAAUUUUAUUAGAGUACAUGGAGAUUGAUGCAUAAUCAAAGUAUCAAUUUGAUAGACAACUUUCGGCAUAUCAAUCUUUGGAUCAUCCUCCAGUUAAAUGAUCGAUGGAUGGACAUGUGUUAGGUGUGACGCAUUUGCAACUUACCCAAGAACAUAUGAUAUGGUGCAUGCUGAUGGCUUUCUAUCACUUGAGAAGACCCACAAGCAUAGAUGUUCUACUCUUGACAUAUUCUUGGAAGUUGAUCGCAUC
rnacentral:lncRNA from 1 species